rnacentral:rRNA from 1 species
GACGAACGCUGACGGUGUGCUUUAGGCAUGCAAGUCGAACGAGAAAGCCCUUCGGGGUGAGUACAGUGGCGAACGGGUGAGUAACACGUGGGCAACCUGCCCCUCGCAGGGGGACAACCGGAGGAAACUCCGGCUAAUACCCCGUACGCUUGUCGGACCGCAUGGUACUGACAAGGAAAGGUAGCUUCGGCCAUCCGGCGAGGGAUGGGCCCGCGUUGCAUUAGCUAGUUGGUGGGGUAACGGCCCACCAAGGCGACGAUGCGUAGCUGGUCUGAGGGGAUGAUCGGCCACACUGGGACUGAGACACGGCCCAGACUCCUACGGGAGGCAGCAGCCAGGAAUCUUGGGCAAUGGGCGAAAGCCUGAUCCAGCAACACCGUGUGGGCGAUGAAGGCUCUAGGGUCGUAAAGCCCUGUUGAUAGGGACGAAGGGCGAAGGGUUAAUAGCCCCUAGCUUGACGGUACCUUUCGAGGAAGCCCCGGCUAACUACGUGCCAGCCGCCGCCGUAA